rnacentral:rRNA from 1 species
AAACUUUCAACAACGGAUCUCUUGGUUCUGGCAUCGAUGAAGAACGCAGCGAAAUGCGAUAAGUAAUGUGAAUUGCAGAACUCAGCGAACCAUCGAAUCUUUGAACGCACAUUGCGCCCGUCGGUAUUCCGGCGGGCAUGCCUGUCCGAGCGUCAUUU